GCUCAGUAACACGUGGAGAACGUGCCCUUAAGUGGGGGAUAAUCUCGGGAAAUUGAGGAUAAUACCCCAUAGAUCAUGGCAUCUGGAAUGAGUCAUGGUUGAAAGUUCCGGCGCUUAAGGAUCGCUCUGCGGCCUAUCAGGUAGUAGUGGGUGUAAGGUACCCCCUAGCCUACGACGGGUAUGGGCCUUGAGAGAGGGAGCCCAGAGUUGGAUUCUGAGACACGAAUCCAGGCCCUACGGGGCGCAGCAGUCGCGAAAACUUCACACUGGGGGGAACCCCGAUGAGGGAAAUCCUAGUGCUAGGACAUUUGUUCUAGCUUUUCUCAAGCGUAGAUAACUUGAGGAAUAAGGGCUGGGUAAGACGGGUGCCAGCCGCCGCGGUAAUACCUGCAGCCCAAGUGGUGGUCGAUUUUAUUGAGUCUAAAGCGUUCGUAGCCGGUCCGUUAAAUCCUUGGGUAAAUCGGGAAGCUCAACUUUCCGACUUCCGAGGAGACUGGCGGACUUGGGACCGGGAGAGGCCAGAGGUACUUCUGGGGUAGGGGUAAAAUCCUGUAAUCCUAGAAGGACCACCGGUGGCGAAGGCGUCUGGCUAGAACGGAUCCGACGGUGAGGGACGAAGCCCUGGGUCGCAAACGGGAUUAGAUACCCCGGUAGUCCAGGGUGUAAACGCUGCCGACUUGGUGUUGGGGGCCCUUCGGGGGAACUCAGUGCCGGAGAGAAGUUGUUAAGUCGGCCACUUGGGGAGUACGUCCGCAAGGAUGAAACUUAAAGGAAUUGGCGGGGGAGCAC
rnacentral:rRNA from 1 species